rnacentral:lncRNA from 1 species
GAAGAGAUUAAAGUAAAAUCAUACACCAAAAGAACAAUAAAACAAGAACUUACUAGAAUUUAGAAGUCGAAAUACUGAAGAAUCCUAGGAGCAAGCUUCGGGUUAGGAGAACUUGAUCCCGCAGGUACAAUCUUGGAGUAGACACCGAGAGGCCGGGCUUCCUCCAAUCUACACCUCCACUCUAUCUCUCUCAAUCUAGUAGAAACUAGAAGAUCUAUUUCUACUCACAUUGGUUGCUAAGCCUAAAAAGAAAUUUUAUUUAGAGAAGAGGUUUUCCUUCGAGGUCUCCCCUCAACUCUAUGAUAAACUUCUCUCCUCUAGGGGCCAGGGGGUCUGGUUUUAUAGUCCCUUCAAGUGAACGUGAGCCAUUGGUCAAACCAACAUUGAUUGGACGGUUAUCCUUGAUUCUUUAGGUCGGUGGAACGUCAUGUGCGAAAAGAGUCCCGAUUGGCACCCAGAGGGGGGCGGGCGCCUAGGUCAACUGGGCGGGCGCCCAGUGCGUGGCCCCGUUCGGCCUCUGCUUCCUUCCCGUGGCUUCUGGAGUCUUCUAGAUGGUAGAAAAUUGCGCGGUGCGUUGAUAUCUCUAUGUAAUCCUGACAUGUGGGCCAUUCUUCCUUAUUUCCUGAUAACCCCCUGCAGAAACAGAUAAACAACAAAACUGGUGGAAUUCUGUCAGAUCAAACCCUAAUUCUAGGUGUUGGUUGCAUAUUGGUCCUUUCUCUUGUUUAUUUGAUAAUUAAAAUUGAUACUUAAGAACCGUCAACAAAUACCCCCAUACUUAGGCUUUUACUCGUCCUCGAGAAAAGGAUGGUUAAGAACAAUAUCUGGGGUAAAACAAAAUAUUCUCUUCAUAUUUGCAGGGUAUUAAAAUCCACUGUGUACCAUAGUUAGAGAAGUAUAUGGUUAAGAGUAAAGAUCCUUUCUUCUCAAUCUUGUCACUUGGAGUUUUUGUAUAUUUUUGAAAAGAAAUUUAGCAUACCUUUUAUCCUCAUAGGUUCUCUCAGAUCACUCGUUUAUCUUUUGUAUAUCUCAUUGAGGCUGUUUUAAUUUGCAAAAAUACUCCAGCACACUUACUUUGCAUUUGUUGCUUGAUCAAAACGGGAUCCGAGGAGAGGAAUGUCAUACUCUUAGAUCAAAGACUUUGGAAAUUAAAAACUUUGUCAACUCUUGCUGGCAUAUAGCUUAUUAGAGGGAUCAUGGGCUAUCAUUUUCUUUUUCUUCUCUUUUUCUCUUUUUUUAAGUGGAUACCGAAGUACCCCUAAUUCUACUGCCGGACAUUUGUCCAUUUUUUUUUCUGCGAGGUUGUCGAGCACUUGCUCCUUUUUAUUUCCUCGAAAUAUCUUUAUUUUUGCAUAGCCCAUGCCUCUAAUGCAAUAAUACUUCGGAAGAGUGAAUCUUUCUAAAAAAUGUCUUGAUCUUAGGAGCAUGAUAAAUCUCUCAACAAGGGUCUAACUCAUUUUGAACAAACUCAAUACAGAGUAGAUAGCCUUUAUAAUCAUAAUUAAUAUUUUUAGUUUUAGUAGGCAUAUAAAACACUGAGGAUGGUAGCUAGAAUUUUUUAAUAAAUUCUCCAAGCAACAAUGAUAUCAAGAAUAUGAAACUCAUACUCUACCAUUCCAUAAUGACUUAAGUAACACAGGGUUUUAAAAUGAUUUUCAAUGAUUGCAGGUUUUCAGGAAAUAUCAGAGAGUGAGAUUAAUCAUGAUUAGAAAUAUUUUAAUCUUUAUAAUUUAUCAUGUUGGAAACAAUAUUCUGCAUAAUCCAAGAUAUAUGUAUGUGUAAUAGUAAAAUGUGCAAAGUGUGUUACCUGAAUCGUGGAGUGGUGUAGUCGAAGUGUGUUUGGCAUGUCGAGGGAUCUCCCCCGUACUUGUUUUCUGCUUUCUUGUACAAGAAUAAAGUAGAGAUACACAAGACAUAGUAAUAAUAAUAAUACUCUUUAUUAAUCUUGAGGCAUUUAUUACAAAAGACUAGUAGCAAAUUGAUAGCAAACCGACGAUAAUAAUAAAUCUAAACCGAAUUUAAAGAUAAAUAACUAAGAUGCAUUGCCUCAAGGUCUAAUCUAAAUAACUUAGCGGCGCUCUAAUUCCUUAAUCUUCUUAUUGGCACUAGCAAGAUCAUGCCUAAGGCCUAAUAUAAUGGUGUUGUGGUUAGAGAGCUGCCUAGUGAGGGAAUUAAUAGAGGACUGGAGGUCUAUGAUAACUCUGUCUAGCAUGUGAACGUCCUCAUCAAUAUCGACUAUAGUCUUGCGACGCUUGGGAGGUGUCUCAAAAGCAUUGAGAGCGUGCUUUGGGGCUGCCUUUCGAGGGAUGAAACAGACUUUGGCUGCUCUAAUCCCUUCAAAGUAAGGUCUCUCCUCCUUCGUAGUGUAGCGUAUGCUGCUGAUCUCGCCGCUCCGGUUGGUCUUGACUCCAACGACCCUCUCAUUGGGUCGAGGUGGAAGGAUCCUCGUGCCGGUUGGCACCUUGAUGGUAGUGUUCGUCUUGGAUUAUGAUCCCUUAAGGAGUAGAGGUUGUGGCGGUGCAGUGAGAACUGGUUGAGCAUGGUAGGAUUGGGCAGAGCUGCGCUGGUGUAAUGGCAGGGCUUCUAGCUGUCGCUCUGUGUUGGCCGGGACGAGAGCACGGGCGUCGGGGUCUUCCUUAGGCUCCAUGUUGAGGUUGAAGGGGACGACUUCCCAAUCAUCAUGGAACUUCUCGGCCAUUGGAGCAGCAAGAGACUAAACAAGCUCUAAUUGAAGAAGAGAAGGCUUGGUGGAUUGGUGUUUGAAAACUGAUGUCAGGAGUCUGUUUAUAUAGGGGUCAAAAAGUGCCUCUAGGGGGUUGUUCUGGUUUCUCCCGUCGAUGGGCGUGCUAAAGUUUCCAUCUGAGGGAUUAUUCGGAUUACCAUAAGUGUAUUUUCCAUAACAGAGAAAAUUGGGACCGAGGGGGGACAGGAGCUGGGUGCCCGCCCACCUGAUCUGGGCGCCCGCCCUCUCUCUGGCUCCUCUGUGGGCCCACUUUCUCAAGCGCGUUUCUAGAUGC